CCUACGGGGGGCAGCAGUAGGGAAUUUUCGUCAAUGGGCGCAAGCCUGAACGAGCAAUGCCGCGUGAACGAGGAAGGUCUUCGGAUCGUAAAGUUCUGUUGAAGGGGAAAAAGAGCGGAGAGAGGAAAUGGUCUCCGAUUGAUAUUACCCUUCGAGGAAGUCACGGCUAACUACGUGCCAGCAGCCGCGGUAAUACGUAGGUGGCGAGCGUUAUCCGGAUUUACUGGGUGUAAAGGGCGUGUAGGCGGGCCUGCAAGUCAGAAGUGAAAUCUGGGGGCUUAACCCCUAAACUGCUUUUGAAACUG
rnacentral:rRNA from 1 species